rnacentral:rRNA from 1 species
UGAGGAACAUGACCUUCGGCGGGGGAUAGCCGGCCCAACGGCCGGGUAGUACCGCGUACGACCACAUGGGGACAUCCCUGAGUGGUGAAAGCAGCAAUGCGCCGAUGGAGUGCCUCGCGGCCUAUCAGCUAGUUGGUGAGGUAACGCUCACCAAGGCGACGACGGGUAGCUGGUCUGAGAGGAUGGCCAGCCACAUUGGGACUGAGACACGGCCCAGACCUCUACGGGGAG